UACGUAGGUCCCGAGCGUUGUCCGGAUUUAUUGGGCGUAAAGCGAGCGCAGGUGGUUUAUUAAGUCUGGUGUAAAAGGCAGUGGCUCAACCAUUGUAUGCAUUGGAAACUGGUAGACUUGAGUGCAGGAGAGGAGAGUGGAAUUCCAUGUGUAGCGGUGAAAUGCGUAGAUAUAUGGAGGAACGCCGGUGGCGAAAGCGGCUCUCUGGCCUGUAACUGACGCUGAGGCUCGAAAGCGUGGGGAGCAAACAGG
rnacentral:rRNA from 1 species